UAAUACGAAGAGACCUAGCGUAGUUCGGAAUUACUGGGCGUAAAGCGCGCGUAGGCCGUUGAGUUAGUUAAUUGUGAAAUCCCAAAGCUUAACUUUGGGAACUGCAAUUAAAACUGCUCGACUAGAGUUUGAUAGAGGAAAGCGGAAUACAUAGUGUAGAGGUGAGAUUCGUAGAUAUUAUGUAGAACACCAGUUGCGAAGGCGGCUUUCUGGAUCAACACUGACGCUGAGGCGCGAAAGUAUGGGUAGCAAAGAGGAUUAGAUACCCUCGUAGUCCAUACCAUAAACGAUGAUUGCUAGAUGUUGGAAAUUUAUUUUCAGUAUCGCAGCUAACGCAUUAAGCAAUCCGCCUGGGGAGUACGACCGCAAGGUUAAAACUCAAAUGAAUUGACGGGGACCCGCACAAGCGGUGGAGCAUGUGGUUUAAUUCGAAGAUACGCGCAGAACCUUACCAACCCUUGACAUGUCUGUCGCAAGUUUAGGAAACUAGAC
rnacentral:rRNA from 1 species